CGAGCGACAGAUAAGGAGCUUGCUCCUUUGACGUUAGCGGCGGACGGGUGAGUAACACGUGGGUAACCUACCUAUAAGACUGGGAUAACUUCGGGAAACCGGAGCUAAUACCGGAUAACAUUUGGAACCGCAUGGUUCUAAAGUGAAAGAUGGUUUUGCUAUCACUUAUAGAUGGACCCGCGCCGUAUUAGCUAGUUGGUAAGGUAACGGCUUACCAAGGCGACGAUACGUAGCCGACCUGAGAGGGUGAUCGGCCACACUGGAACUGAGACACGGUCCAGACUCCUACGGGAGGCAGCAGUAGGGAAUCUUCCGCAAUGGGCGAAAGCCUGACGGAGCAACGCCGCGUGAGUGAUGAAGGGUUUCGGCUCGUAAAACUCUGUUAUUAGGGAAGAACAAACGUGUAAGUAACUGUGCACGUCUUGACGGUACCUAAUCAGAAAGCCACGGCUAACUACGUGCCAGCAGCCGCGGUAAUACGUAGGUGGCAAGCGUUAUCCGGAAUUAUUGGGCGUAAAGCGCGCGUAGGCGGUUUCUUAAGUCUGAUGUGAAAGCCCACGGCUCAACCGUGGAGGGUCAUUGGAAACUGGGAAACUUGAGUGCAGAAGAGGAAAGUGGAAUUCCAUGUGUAGCGGUGAAAUGCGCAGAGAUAUGGAGGAACACCAGUGGCGAAGGCGACUUUCUGGUCUGUAACUGACGCUGAUGUGCGAAAGCGUGGGGAUCAAACAGGAUUAGAUACCCUGGUAGUCCACGCCGUAAACGAUGAGUGCUAAGUGUUAGGGGGUUUCCGCCCCUUAGUGCUGCAGCUAACGCAUUAAGCACUCCGCCUGGGGAGUACGACCGCAAGGUUGAAACUCAAAGGAAUUGACGGGGACCCGCACAAGCGGUGGAGCAUGUGGUUUAAUUCGAAGCAACGCGAAGAACCUUACCAAAUCUUGACAUCCUUUGAAAACUCUAGAGAUAGAGCCUUCCCCUUCGGGGGACAAAGUGACAGGUGGUGCAUGGUUGUCGUCAGCUCGUGUCGUGAGAUGUUGGGUUAAGUCCCGCAACGAGCGCAACCCUUAAGCUUAGUUGCCAUCAUUAAGUUGGGCACUCUAGGUUGACUGCCGGUGACAAACCGGAGGAAGGUGGGGAUGACGUCAAAUCAUCAUGCCCCUUAUGAUUUGGGCUACACACGUGCUACAAUGGACAAUACAAAGGGCAGCUAAACCGCGAGGUCAUGCAAAUCCCAUAAAGUUGUUCUCAGUUCGGAUUGUAGUCUGCAACUCGACUACAUGAAGCUGGAAUCGCUAGUAAUCGUAGAUCAGCAUGCUACGGUGAAUACGUUCCCGGGUCUUGUACACACCGCCCGUCACACCACGAGAGUUUGUAACACCCGAAGCCGGUGGAGUAACCAU
rnacentral:rRNA from 1 species